AGAGUUUGAUCCUGGCUCAGAUUGAACGCUGGCGGCAGGCUUAACACAUGCAAGUCGAGCGGUAGCACAGGGGAGCUUGCUCCCUGGGUGACGAGCGGCGGACGGGUGAGUAAUGUCUGGGAAACUGCCUGAUGGAGGGGGAUAACUACUGGAAACGGUAGCUAAUACCGCAUAACGUCGCAAGACCAAAGAGGGGGACCUUCGGGCCUCUUGCCAUCAGAUGUGCCCAGAUGGGAUUAGCUAGUAGGUGGGGUAAUGGCUCACCUAGGCGACGAUCCCUAGCUGGUCUGAGAGGAUGACCAGCCACACUGGAACUGAGACACGGUCCAGACUCCUACGGGAGGCAGCAGUGGGGAAUAUUGCACAAUGGGCGCAAGCCUGAUGCAGCCAUGCCGCGUGUGUGAAGAAGGCCUUCGGGUUGUAAAGCACUUUCAGCGAGGAGGAAGGUGGUGAGCUUAAUACGCUCAUCAAUUGACGUUACUCGCAGAAGAAGCACCGGCUAACUCCGUGCCAGCAGCCGCGGU
rnacentral:rRNA from 1 species